GCAGUGGAGAUUCAGGGGUAGAAGUCUUACCUUCCAUGCGGGAGACCUGGGUUCAAUUCCCAGCCAGUGCA
rnacentral:tRNA from 1 species